ensembl:rRNA 5S_rRNA 5S ribosomal RNA
GUCUACGGCCACACCACCCUGAACGCGCCUGAUCCCAUGUGAUCUCAGAAGCUAAGCAGGGUUGGGCCUGGUUAGUAAGUGGAUGGGAGACUGCCUGGGAAUACCGGAUGCUGUAGGCU